UACAAUAAAUUAUAAAUAAAAUUUUAUUAAAAAUGUAUAAUUAUAUACUUAAAUAUUGAAAUAUUUUUUAAAUAUCCCGCCAUAAAAAAGUACCUAUCAAAUCGAAAAAGAUAGAUGUCGCAAUAUCGAUACUUGAUUUAAUAGACAAGCACGUAGUGUCAUCUAGUGUCGUCUAGUUUCAGUGGAGUGAGAGUGUACGUAGAAAUUUCUUCAAAAUUCAUUUCUUCAAUUAUUUCUUUUGGAUUUAUUGUUGCUGGUGUGAUUGGCGGUUCGUGCUGAGUGUCGUUUAACACAAAUGUCGUUGUGGGCUCUUCCCGCGAAUUUUGUGCAACUCUUCUACUUCCUGGAGGAAUAUAAGUCCACCAAGCCAGGAAAAAGAAAAGAAGGGAUGCUGCUUUGCCGAUGAAAGCUAAUGCUAGCAUAUAUCUGAAACAAGCGGCCAUUAUUGAAAUUAUAGAGGACGCCAUAAUCAAGUGUGGAACAAUGUCUACAGAUAUAGAAAUAAUAAACGAAGAUAUACAAACAUAGAGAAAUGGACUUCACAAGCUUGCAUACUAAGUAUUAAGAUAAGAAAUUAUACGAACUUCGACGUUAUUUAGUCGCAUUCCUUGAUAACAUCCUGCAUGACAAGGGGAAUAGUACGUGAUUCCAUCAACUCCGCAUAUUGGACUGAACUCUGAUCUCGAGCAGCCGCAGCCAUUAUUGCACGUGUUAUCCAAUGAAAAUGUUUUUCUAAUUUAAACAGAAUUUCACACGCCCAUACACAUGCAUAAAUAACAAUCACGUACUUGGUCUGGUUCGAAUAAGGUAUAGUGACUCCUGCGAAGUUUAAAUUCGGACAAUUCAGAACGAAGCACAAAGUGAAAGCGAUGCAGGACGCGGUUGCCAGUAGACAGAACUUUAAAAUGCCCGAACAGGGCAAAUUAAAACGCUUUAUGAGGUAACCCCCGAGGAAGGUGCCUCCACCGCCUGCGGGUACAGUCACCAAACCUGCAAGCAAAAUGAGAAAAAUAAUGAAGAUGAAACGGUA
rnacentral:lncRNA from 11 species